GAUGAACGCUGGCGGCGUGCCUAAUACAUGCAAGUCGAGCGAACGGACGAGAAGCUUGCUUCUCUGAUGUUAGCGGCGGACGGGUGAGUAACACGUGGAUAGCCUACCUAUAAGACUGGGAUAACUUCGGGAAACCGGAGCUAAUACCGGAUAAUAUUUUGAACCGCAUGGUUCAAAAGUGAAAGACGGUCUUGCUGUCACUUAUAGAUGGAUCCGCGCUGCAUUAGCUAGUUGGUAAGGUAACGGCUUACCAAGGCAACGAUGCAUAGCCGACCUGAGAGGGUGAUCGGCCACACUGGAACUGAGACACGGUCCAGACUCCUACGGGAGGCAGCAGUAGGGAAUCUUCCGCAAUGGGCGAAAGCCUGACGGAGCAACGCCGCGUGAGUGAUGAAGGUCUUCGGAUCGUAAAACUCUGUUAUUAGGGAAGAACAUACGUGUAAGUAACUGUGCACAUCUUGACGGUACCUAAUCAGAAAGCCACGGCUAACUACGUG
rnacentral:rRNA from 1 species